rnacentral:misc_RNA from 1 species
AAGUGAUGAAGAAACCGGGAAUUCUUUACCAUUACCCAUGCCCUGAUGGAGCUUUUGCCGCUUUGGCUGCUCAUCUUUAUUUUUCUUCUCUACCUAUAACUCCUCUUUACUUCCCCAACACUGUUUACUCUCCCAUCAGGGUGGAGGACCUUCCUCUAAAUCAAAUUGAUCAUGUUUACCUCUUGGAUUUUGUGGGUCCUUCUGGUUUUGUUCAGCAACUCAAGUCAAAAGUUGAACGUGUUGUUGUAUUGGACCAUCACAAGACUGCAAAAGAGCUGUUAGGUGGAGGGACAUCUGAGACUGAAAAUGUGAGCAAAGUGAUCGACAUGGAUAGAAGUGGGGCUACUAUUUCUUAUGAUUAUUUCAAAGAGAAGCUCAUAACCGGAAACAAUAAUGAAGCUGCUGACGGCAAUGCAGUAAAGAUUGGUGAAUUUGACAGAGUCAGGAGAUUAUUCGAAUAUAUAGAGGACAGAGAUUUGUGGAGAUGGAAACUCCCAGACAGUAAAGCAUUCAGCAGUGGGUUGGAUGAUCGCCAUAUUGAAUAUGAUGUCAAUUUGAAUCCCUCCUUGUUUCAACAGUUGCUUGCUUUGGAUCUAAAAUCUGUUGUAGAGCAAGGAAAGAUAAGCUUGUCGUACAAACAGAAACGUAUAGAUGAGGUCAUCGAGCAAUCAUUUGAGAUAGCACUUGGAGCUGGAGCGUUUGGUUGUUGCCUGGCAGUUAAUGCAGAUUCUUUGCCUGAGCUAAGAAGUGAGCUUGGGAACCAGUUGGCAGUCAAAAGUCGUAAUAUGAAGUUGAGGGGUAUUGGAGCUAUUGUUUAUAAGGUACCUGAGCUUGAAAACAAUGAGAUGUUAAAGGUUAGCCUGAGGAGCAUUGGUGAUGAAGAUACGACAUCUAUCUCCCAGGCAUUUGGUGGCGGUGGGCAUCGAAAUGCCAGUUCAUGUAUGUUAAAAUGUGCUGAGUUUGAGAAUUGGAAGGUUUCAAAUAGGACCUCGACAUAGGUGAAGUACUAUUGCCCUGAAGAUCUAACUGAAGUUUGGCCCUUUCUCUUAGGCCGUCAACUAGGUCUCAGGUAAAGCCCACAGUCAAAAUUGAAUGCUGG